CGAAAUCCCAAAGAGUUCUAGAUGAUCACAAGAUGACUUUUUACAUUCCCCCCCUUUUAUGGCAAUUUGCAGUUUAAGGACAAGCAAAAUAGGCCAGAGCACAAUUUUCAUACAGUGGUUUAUUUACCUCAUAAUAAGCUUGCAUUAUGAAGACGAGCUUAUUUUAUUACAGGAUUUUCUUCAAGCUUCUAUAAGAUAUUUCCACUAGGCUCGUUGACAAGGACUUUAAAAUAUCUUAAAACAGAUUUCCUUUUUCUUUUAGCAUAAAUAAAGCAAUUUAUCUUUCUAAACAUACAUCGUCCAAGUAUCUUGUAACCUACAUUCGAUAAAUACGAACUAUAAUUAAAGUUUUCAAUAUUCACAUUCAUUUGUCUUAUAUAUUUCAUCUUAAGUACUCAUUAAUAGGUAAACGUGCUUGUUUAGGGUUCCUUUGGAAUUGCUUUUCGGAGUUAAAAAAAAAAAUCACAUCAAUGUUUUCAAAAUCAAUCAUUUCUACAGCUAAUUUUGAAAAAGAGGGAAAGAGUAGCUUUUAGAUUCGAAUUUUGAGAAUUAAUUUUAUCUUUUAAUGCAAUUCCAUAAAUAUCCUUAAAAUUAUUACCUAAACCCAAAAUUAUCCUUAUUCAAAAUGGAAACAAAAUCAAUAUUUUUAAUAUCCUUGCAACAACUAGGGAUACCAAUGGACACCGUUGCAGGUUUGACAAUACCAAACCCUCACCAACACAAAAUUUAAAUUAUCAAACUUACUCGCUACUUGUUGUGAGUUUUAAUUUUUUUAAGAAAACACACCCGCAACGAUUUUUGACGAUUACCAAACCCACGAUGAUACCCAACAAUUUUUUUGCGGCCUCCGACAUUUAAAAUCACAAUUACUCAAUAUGUAAAUUUAAGCUAGUCCAAAGUACAAAAUUAUCCAUGCUGAUUUUAAACAAGCUGAAUAUAUAACUGUGUAUAUAUCAUCACACAAGUUUGAAAUGUAAUCAAAUACCAUAAAUUUGAUGAAAAUAAUAGAUUAAUAGCAGCAGAUAAUGAAAACAAUACCUUCCACGACCACAAUGGAUGAAAAUAGCAACAAUACGAGAAGAUGGCAGCUGUAACGACAAUGACGGAGACAGUAGUGAUGGUUGUAGAAUCAGCAGUAGAGGCAACAACAAUAGUGGCAAAAUGAAUGGUGGCGGCUGCUGCAGAAUCAAUGGUCGCCGCAGUGGCUGCAACAACAUAACGCAAUUAUCGGUAGAGAAAGGAGUUGGGCGCUGAUUGUUUGGAUUGAGAAGGGAGUUGGGCAGCAAGAUAGUUGUGCGACUCAUGGUCACGGCUAAAGGUAGAUGACAAAUUGGUUUCCUUUAGUUUACUUUAGAUGAGGGAUCAACUAAAGAAGUAGAUGGACUUUAG
rnacentral:lncRNA from 1 species